GAGGGUAUAGCUCAGUGGUAGAGCACAUGCUUAGCAGGCAUGAGGUCCUGGGUUCAAUCUCCACUACUUCCA
rfam:Camelus ferus unplaced genomic scaffold scaffold1257, whole genome shotgun sequence.